UAUUGUUCUUCUCAUGGGAAGGAGGAGAAGACGAAGUGGCAAAGAAGAACAUUCCAGACAAGUGAGGGAGAGAGGAGAAGGCGAAGUUGCAGAGACGACGGAGAGGAAAGACGAGCGUGCGUUUGCGAUUUGCCUUCGCUCUCACCGAUCAAAGUUCAUUUCUCAUGUUUUCCUUGCUAAUAUUCGUUAUUCAACGUUUUUUGGGUUUGAUUGUUUGGUUUUCUUCGCAAACAUCGAUUGAUUUCUUCUUCUUUUUUUCGUCGCCUUUCGUUAUUGCUUCAUGAUCUUCAUAAAAUUUUAAUUUUUUAACGAAUUUCCGUAACCGGAUUCAGAAAUUUCUGGGUUUAUGUUCAUAAAGUUUUGAUUUUUGAACACAUUUUUUAUCUAGUUUUUCACCUUCUGUAUUGCACAACUUUCAAUCUGAUGGAUAGUUAAUGUAUUAGUAGCAGAAUUGGUGUUAGUAAUUUGGGCUUAUUUCAUCUCUUUUGGUUAGUCACACCACCUGUUUGGUGAUAUGCCUGAGAGAGGGGAGGAAAGUUUAGAUCAUUUACUUUUCUCUUGCAGGUUCGUAUGGAACACCUGGAAGAAGUAUUAUAUCUGGAUUGGCCUCCAAACUGCUCUGCUCCUAGACUAUAAAAUGCAUUUCAAUCAUCAUUGUACUGAGGUGGGAUCAAAGAAGAAGAUGGAUGGUUAUUAGUUUGAUGCACUUGUGUUUGGACUCUAUGGCUGAGGUGUUGUUUUAGUCUGUAGGUGCAAGGUAGAAGGAUUCUCACUUUCCUGAUCUUGUAAUCCUACAGUGUGUAUGGAUGGUAUAACUUGAAAGAUGAUGGAAUGCUCUGUUACUUUUGGGGCUUUUCUCAUAGUGCAGUGGUUCAUAAGGCCUCCAAGUGGGGUAUUUGAAUGAGAGCGCAACAAUUUGGUUCGCAGGCAAGAUAAGGUGCAUUUACUGGGCACUUGAAGUGGAGGGACAAGUUUAGCUUUCCAAAUUGUAUUUCUGAGAUGUAGAUCCUCUACUGUUUGUGGGUGUCAAUGUAAAUUUUGUAUUUCUAAUAUGAAGCCAGCACUAACCAUCAAAAUUGUAAAUCUAUCU